rnacentral:rRNA from 1 species
AACGUAGGUUCCGAGCGUUAUCCGGAUUUACUGGGCGUAAAGCGCGUUCAGGCGGUUUGGCAAGUCGGGCAUGAAAUCUCUCGGCUCAACCGGGAGAGGUUGUCCGAUACUGCUGGACUUGAGGGCAGUAGAGGGUGGUGGAAUUCCGGGUGUAGUGGUGAAAUGCGUAGAUAUGGGGAGGAACACCGGUGGCGAAGGCGGCCACCUGGACGGAUACUGACGCUGAGGCACGAAAGCGUGGGGAGCAAACAGG